UUGUGAGCUGGUACAGAUCUGUGAGCCAAGUGCUGCUUUCUGCUCCCCCACUCCCCUCCCCACCACUUCCUCUUGCAGAGGCCCUCAGGCUCACCCACCCCCAACUUCACUGCAGCUCUGUGUCUUUGGAUUCCAGCAGUGUUUCAUGUAUGAUGUGAUGGGCUCUGGUGACAGACAUUUACAGCAGGCCAGGCACCCUUCCAAUGGAUUUCACUGGAAUGCUACACUAGAGCUACAAUCAUCUGAUAUCCAUGUGGAGAGCCAGGGCACAUCCCUGGACUAUGGCACUGGAGCCUCACACUGUGAUGGGAAGAGCUCAACAUCUCCAGGACCCAUUGGCUAGGAUGAUCACUCCUUGAUGGAUGGCUCUGGGGCUAUGGGCUGGGCAGGGCUCAGUACCUCUGUGACCUAUAAGACUUACCAGGCCUUCCCCAGAUGGAUUGCCUUGGGAUGCUGGGGAAUGGAGCUCAGAUCCUCCAUGCAGCUAGCAGAGAUACACCCAUAGAGUUCAGUGCUAGGGCCUUGUACCUGGAUGGACGGAGUUAUAACCUCCAUAACCCACACAGCUAGCCAGGGCUCAACCCUGGAGUAUAGUGCCAGGGACUUGCACCUGGAUGUGUGGAUUCAGAGCUUUAAGGACCCAGGUGGCUAGCUUGGAUGCACCCAAUAGCUGUGAUGGGCAGAGUUUGAAGUCUCUAGGGCUGAGCAGGGCUUGGUACCUCUGUGAACUGUGAUGCUGGCUGGGUAUUCCCACAGUGGAUUGCACUGAGACAUUGGGCUGGGCAGAGCUCAGAUUCUCCACACAACUAGCAAGAACAUACCCCUGAAGUUUGCUGCCAGGGUCUUGUGCCUAGGUGGGUGGAGUUCAGAAUCUCCAGGACCCACACAGCUACCCAGGGCACACCCCUGGCAUAUGGCCAAAUCUGAUACUUCUAUAGGUAAAUGGAUGCAAAUUGAGACCAUACUAAUAAUAGUGAAAUAAAUCAGACUUGCAUGUGUAAACAUAAUAUUGUCUCUCUAUUGUGAGAAAUUUUUUAAAGAGUAAAUAAGAUCCAAAAUGUAUAAUAGGUAUUGCAAAAUGAAAAGAAAACAUUGUAAAGGAGAGAAAUUGGGAUUGGGAAAGGAAAAAAAUGCAUAUGCAUAAUAGUUAUACUACUAAUCUCUUAGUUCAUUGAAAUGUUUGUGUUUAUAUUGUUUGAUGAAUUUUUCAAGCCUAUAUCUUGUAAUCUAGACAACUAUUUUCAAGAUAACAAUGCAAAAUAUAUUAACCAA